rnacentral:rRNA from 1 species
CCUACGGGCGGCAGCAGUGGGGAAUAUUGCACAAUGGGCGAAACCCUGAUGCAGCAACGCCGCGUGAGGGAAGAAGGGUUUCGGCUUGUAAACUUCUAUCAACAGGGACGAAAGAAAUGACGGUACCUUAAUAAGAAGCCCCGGCUAACUACGUGCCAGCAGCCGCGGUAAUACGUAGGGGGCAAGCGUUAUCCGGAAUUACUGGGUGUAAAGGGUGAGUAGGCGGCAUGGUAAGCCAGAUGUGAAAGCCUUGGGCUUAACCCGAGGAUUGCAUUUGGAACUAUCAAGCUAGAGUACAGGAGAGGAAAGCGGAAUUCCUAGUGUAGCGGUGAAAUGCGUAGAUAUUAGGAAGAACACCAGUGGCGAAGGCGGCUUUCUGGACUGAAACUGACGCUGAGGCACGAAAGCGUGGGGAGCAAACAGGAUUAGAUACCCCAGUAGUC